CCCAGAGAGAGGUGACAUUAGGCGAGCCGAGGGGAACACGAGCAGGAGAUUCUAUCUGUCUUACCUGAGACACCAUCUUCCUCGCCUCUUGCCUCAGGCGCCAUUUUCAUCGCCAUGAGGGUGACGUCCCCCCAAGACACGUUUACCAAAUUAAACCCGCUAUAAGUAAGUGCACUCAUUUCUGUCAUGCCAUUAAUAGGAAACCACAAAUUAUUAUAAUAAAACAUUGAUAAGAUUGUACUUAAAUUACGUAUUAUAAUGUUACUGGUAGUAAUUAUAAGUAAUAGAUGUAUUGUAAAAGUUUUUUUUUUAUCAACAGUGAAACUUAGAUUUAACUUGGUAUAUAAAACUUUUGUAAACUUAUAGUGAUAAAUUAUUAUCAAUAUUUGAACCUGUGACUGGUAAAUUUAAUGAAAAACUUUCGAUGCUAUGUCUCACAUAUGUUAGUGAGAUUGUUGAUUAAUCUCUGUUACACGUUCCUAAAAUAAAGUUAAUUCGGGUUCAAAGGCGGAUUUCAAAGGCUGAGUUCAAAGGCUGAGUUCAUAAGGUGAGUUUAAGGCCGGAACUCCAGACUGAAUGCUCAGGUCAUGAUUGCUCACGACUAACACGUCACGACCGCCUCUCAACGAAGAAGAAAGAAGAAUGAAGACAGAAAUCUUCAGAGAGUGUCAGAGUGAUUGCCAUGAGAUAUAUAUAUAAAAGAAGUUAUUUUUGUAUGUGUCGCGUUAUUAUGUGAUCUAAUAUACAGUUUAAGGCUUGA
rnacentral:lncRNA from 1 species